rnacentral:rRNA from 1 species
CAGAGCCGCGGGAAAACGAAGGGGGCUAGCGUUGCUCGGAAUCACUGGGCGUAAAGGGUGCGUAGGCGGGUUUUUAAGUCAGAGGUGAAAUCCUGGAGCUCAACUCCAGAACUGCCUUUGAUACUGAAAGUCUUGAGUAUGGGAGAGGUGAGUGGAACUGCGAGUGUAGAGGUGAAAUUCGUAGAUAUUCGGAGGAACACCAGUGGCGGAGGCGGCUCACUGGUCCAUUACUGACGCUGAGGCGCGAAAGCGUGGGGAGCAAACAGGAUUAGAUACCCGCGUAGUCCCUGUCUCUUAUACA